rnacentral:rRNA from 1 species
AAUCAACGCUGGCGGCGUGCCUCAGACAUGCAAGUCGAACGAUUAAACUUUCCUUCGGGAAAGAUAUAAAGUGGCGCACGGGUGAGUAACACGUAGGUAAUGUACCUUUGGGUGGGGAAUAACCAUCGGAAACGAUGGCUAAUACCGCAUAAUGCAGCGGCAUCGCAAGAUGACAGUUGUUAAAGAUUUAUCGCCUAAAGAGCAGCCUGCGGCAGAUUAGGUAGNGGUAAGGUAAUGGCUUACCAAGCCUGCGAUCUGUAACCGACCUGAGAGGGUGGUCGGUCACACUGACACUGAAUAACGGGUCAGACUCCUACGGGAGGCAGCAGUCGGGGAAUUUUGGGCAAUGGGCGAAAGCCUGACCCAGCAACGCCGCGUGAAGGACGAAGUCUUUC